rnacentral:rRNA from 1 species
GACGUAGGGCGCGAGCGUUGUCCGGAUUUAUUGGGCGUAAAGAGCUCGUAGGCGGCUUGUCGCGUCGUCCGUGAAAACUUGGGGCUCAACUCCAAGCUUGCGGUCGAUACGGGCAGGCUCGAGUUCGGUAGGGGAGACUGGAAUUCCUGGUGUAGCGGUGAAAUGCGCAGAUAUCAGGAGGAACACCGGUGGCGAAGGCGGCAUCCUGGACCAACACUGACGCUGAUGAGCGAAAGCCAGGGGAGCAAACGGGG